UUCCCAUUUUAAUUAAGUAAACUUCUUAUUUCUCCUCUCAAAACCCUCGUGUGACUAUUCCUAUUGCCUUCCCCUUACUGCUUCCCAUCUAUUGCUUCCCUUACUGCCUUUUUCCCUUCUCCAUUCACGAUUCACGAAAAAAAAAAAAUCCCUCCUGCGUUGCUGCUGUCACUGCUGCUACCGCCACUGCUCAGCCCGCCGCCGCCGCUGCCCUCGCCACCUACUGCCACCACCCUGCCGGAGAGGGUUUCGUACAAGGUGACUUCUAGUCUUAAAGUGGCCAACCAAUUCGUGUACUCAAGGUUAUUACAGAUUAUUACAGGUUUUAAAGAGAGGAUUAUUGGGGUGUUACACUCUUAGCAUUUGACUGGCUCGGCCGUCGAGAGCCUAACGGCUGCGCAGUUUGAUGAGAUGGUAACCUCUUCAACGCGGCUUUCUCAGAUGAGCCCGCCUCCGAAGAAGAUGAUGAAGAAGGAGCCUUCUUCGAGGAAGAAGGGUUAGCUUUCUUCGCGCUUUUCCCGCUCUUAGUCAUGUUACUCAGAUGGUUGAUUUUUAGCUUGUUUUUUGAAUGUCUUCCCCACAGACAGUGCCAAAUUGUUUCGGGUGAAAACAAUAGGUCCUUCAUCUGGACCUUUCUGGUGCGAUGAAGACUGGACUCGGCCCAAGUGAUGACUGGGACGAGGGUUUUCUGCACAACAAACAUAUGUAAACUGGCCUCGGGGGUUGUGCCGAGGAAGGCCCCUCCGAUGUCGAAGUCAGUAUAGUGUUUUUAGAGAGAGAA